rnacentral:rRNA from 1 species
UACGGAGGGUGCAAGCGUUGUUCGGAUUUAUUGGGCGUAAAGCGCGUGUAGGCGGUCUUUUAAGUCUGAUGUGAAAGCCCUGGGCUCAACCCAGGAAGUGCAUUGGAUACUGGAAGACUUGAAUACGGGAGAGGGUAGUGGAAUUCCUAGUGUAGGAGUGAAAUCCGUAGAUAUUCGGAGGAACACCAGAAGCGAAGGCGGCCAACUGGCCCGAUACUGACGCUGAGGCGCGAAAGCGUGGGGAGCAAACAGG